rnacentral:lncRNA from 1 species
AAUAAUGGUUUAAAAUGUUGCUAAAAAAUAUGUAGUAAUUGAAGGAAACCAAUUCUAAGAAGGAAAUAACGAGUACAAGUCUGUGAUAAAAUAUGGGAAAUGGAUGAGAUGGAGCAAUAGGCAAAAACAUCUCUCGUGGCCUAUAAAUGAUGUCGCUUGCCCUCUUUCUUUAUGUUAGUGUUUGGUUUCUUUUCAUGCGUGUAUCUUUGGUCUAUAGUCGUUCGAGUCGUAUGUGGCUAUGUGCUUUUGUGCUGUUGCGCGUAUUUCUUUUACUUGUAUUUAAAAUAUCCUUCUCAUCUUAGAUAUGCAGCUCCCGUAUUGAUUCAUGGUAGUGAAAAACAGGAGAAUAAUAUGAGAUAAAUAUUUUAUGAGUACACAAGUGCACCUUGAUAGCCCUCGGAUUUAUUCGUUCCUUCCAUAACAGCAAGAUUUUUCUAUUGUCCAAAUUUUUAUUGAACCUUUUGCUCUCAUAAAAUCAUUUUGGUGAUCCCAUGCCUUUCCAUCUGCCACAUCGGCUAUCUUGCUUGGCACACAAUCGCCCCGACAUUGUUCCUCCAAUCCUACCUGCUCUCGUAUUUUUUUAGAAGUCGGGGAGAGAUUCUACUUAAAUUUUAUUGAUCAUGUUCCUGUUUUUCUUUGUUCUACUUUUUUUUUCUUUCCCUCAUAUUUAUUUCAAUGCCUCUCCAGUGCUAUAUCCUUAAACAUCAUAUUCUACCCUAUCCUACAUUAGAUAUGUCGCAUCAGCACUAUUCACUACAAUGUUGCCAUACACCAACUAG